AGGCCCCCCGGAAUUCACAGCUCCUGAAAUACUACCAGCUGGGAGCCGAAAAUAUUUGUGGACUAAUUUUACAAUUUCAUUGUGGUGACUUCAACCUAUUAGAACGCAGAGUUCUGCUCGGCUCUUGCAAUAACAGCAACUAUUUCAUUGAAGUUUUUUUUUUUUUUUUAACUGAAACAUUGGAUUAUUUGAUUUUAUGAAAAGUUUUAUAAAUCAUUUCAAACCAACACAUGAAAGGAGAGAGGACAUUAUAGGAAAUCAGCCAGCCUCACAGAGCCUCAAGACCUACCACAGCUGGCUCAUCUCUCUUCUUCUCCGCUCCUGUGUGCCUUCUGUGUUAAAGCACAUCAUGGAUCGCAUUUCCAGCCUCACUUUCUAAUUAAGUUUAAUGUCGGAAGUAACAAAGCUGAAGGCUGAAGAGUUGAGAGGCGGAGUCAAUCUGCAGAGAGCCCAUCUUCAGGCUGAGUACAAGGCACCGGGAGGUGGAUGAAGGAAGCAGUCAUCUCUUGGUUUUCCUCAGUGAAGCAGGAACAGGAUCCCAUCCCAGAAUUUGGAAUAGGACUUCAUUGGCAGCGGGGGCAUCUGCGGGUAAUGAUGGCUCCACUCUCCAGGUCCUCCCGUCCAUUUCCCAGGCAACCAACAACUGGCUGAGACUAUUCGGGUCGUUUUGACCAACGCCUUGUCGAAAUGAUUUGGGGGAUGCAUGUCACUUCCACGUUGAGGCAUUUCAGAGCUAGGGACACCAUCUUCCCUCUCCCCUUGUCACAGCAACCCUGGAAACCACAUGGUGAGAGGUGGCAUCACAAGCUGGGAGGAGCCUAAACCACAAGGUGUUAUGUAGAGGAGAGCCCAGCAAGGAGCUACCAGUCGUCAUCGUUGGCCUGAUAUACAGGCUUUUGUUUUGUUAGCCACUGAGACGAGGUCUGUUUGUUCAUGUAACACAGGGUGGCUUAUCCUUAAGGGAACCACACUCAGUGUGCAGUGGGCAUAGACCGUUUAAAUUCAUAGCUAUCCAGACCGAGGGAUCUCUUGUGUGUCUCUUAGUGCAUCAGCUUGAUUUCUGCAGCUAGGCAAAACUCUUAAGACAACACUCACCUCAUAGGACAGAACAUGUUGAACAAAGAUGUACAGGGUGUGAAAACAGAUUUGAGGAAAGCCUUGGAGGUUGACUGUUUGGAAAUCUCAUGUUUCAUAUAGAACAACAACAACAAAAAUCUCAGACACUUUAGUUCGAAAAACAAGGCAGUGGUCCACAGAGGCGGCUCUGAGAAGAGCUUUGGAAUGUUCAGGGUCAUCAUGUUCAUUGUGUACAAUAACAAUGCAAGGGCUGAGAAGAGCGAGUUCCCACGGGCGAAGCUUUGCUUGAGUAUCAGGAUACGAACUUAGAUACCAAGCCGAUUUCAAAGGGAUGCUAACUGCUCGGUUGUUCCCCCAAAAUAUUUUUGAGCAAAUAUUCAAUUUCAAAGCAGCAGUAGAUGUGAGUCCUUGAUACGGGAAAUGUUUCAAAAACAACAUAAUCAUAGAAUCAAGUCAUUUUAGAGGCGAUUUUAGGGUAUCAUAAACCCUAGUUCUUAGAAAAAUAAAGCAAUCCCUGCCAAGUGCAUUGAUGUCUGAUCAGCAGGUUCCUACAAAACUGAGGGUAAGAAACACAAAGGAAAUAUAAGGAACAGACUAAGAAAUCAUGACAGAGACUAGAAUUUCAUAAUGUUUUCAGAACUAUGUCAUUUUAGUACUUAAAGACUAAAUUAUAAUAAACCUGUAAUUUCUUGCUAUAGAAGGUAAUAAUUAUAAUGAACAUUUGCACAGCACUUUAGAAUAAAAAGCAUUUUCCUAUA